AACGAACGCUGGCGGCGCGCCUAAUACAUGCAAGUCGAGCGAGAAGACGUAGCAAUACGUUUGUAAAGCGGCGAACGGGUGAGGAAUACAUGGGUAACCUACCCUCGAGUGGGGAAUAACUAGCCGAAAGGUUAGCUAAUACCGCGUACGCUCCUUGGACUUCGGUUCAGGGAGGAAAGCGAUACCGUGGGUAUCGCGCUCUUGGAUGGGCUCAUGUCCUAUCAGCUUGUUGGGAGGUAACGGCUCACCAAGGCUUCGACGGGUAGCUGGUCUGAGAGGACGAUCAGCCACACUGGCACUGCGACACGGGCCAGACUCCUACGGGA
rnacentral:rRNA from 1 species